rnacentral:lncRNA from 1 species
UUUUUUUACCUAUACUCCCUUGCCAUUGUAGUCCACUUUUAUUCACAUACACACUUGCACAAACACUCACGCUUCUGCAAAAACACCAACAGUGGUAUCAGAGCCACGUCUUUGGUUGGUAUUGGGUGUUUGUCCUACCUACCCAUUCCUAAAACUACCCUUUCCAAAUACCCACUAACUAAACCAUGGCCAACUCUACCUCAU